UAAUAAUGUGAAAAUAAUAUUAUUAUUACAAUAUAAUGGUAUUAAUAUUAAUAAUAAUAUAAAAAAUAUUUAAAAAAGAAAAUUAGGUACCACUUUGUGGGGAGGCUAAAUUAACUGAUUGACGAGGCCAUGAAAAAUCUCCAGGAAGUAUGCAAGUAUGCAAAGAAUGAGGAAACGACAGCUCCCCCGGUGGUCAGAAUACCCUCAUGAAAAAGCUGGAAUGUUAAAUAGCCUCUCUCUGUGUUUCUAUAUAUGUUGUGUGUCUAUGGCAUUGAAUGUUUGCCAUGUAUAUGUACAUUGUAAUCCACUCUGAGUCCCCUGUGGGGUGAGAAGGGCGGAAUAUUAAUACUGUAAAUAAAUAAAAUAAAUUAAUA